rnacentral:rRNA from 1 species
AUUGAACGCUGGCGGCAGGCCUAACACAUGCAAGUCGAGCGAGCGGCGGACGGGUGAGUAAUGUCUGGGAAACUGCCCGAUGGCGGUGGAUAACUACUGGAGACGGUAGCUAAUACCGCAUCCCAUCUGAUCUGCCCCGAUGGGAUUAGCUAGUCGGUGGGGUAACGGCUCACCUAGGGGACGAGCCCUAGCUGUUCUGAGAGGAUGACCAGCCACACUGGAACUGAGACACGGUCCAGACGCCUACGGGAGGCAGCAGGGGGGAAUAUUGCACAAUGGGCGAAAGCCUGAUGCAGCCAUGCCGCGUGGGUGAAGAAGGCCUUCGGGUGGUAAAGCACUUUCAGCGGGGAGGCGUUACCCGCAGAAGAAGCACCGGCUAACUCCGUGCCAGCAGCCGCGGUAAUUC